UGGUCCGCGGUGUCCCGGGAACCUGGGAGCCGCUACAGACCACCGGGAGGAUAGGAAGGAGAAAGCCUCGGAGCCAACUGCGGCCCGGAGAGCGCUGGAGAGCCCGAAGCCUAGCGGCCCGCAAGGCGUGGGGUGGCGGGGAGCAAGGCGGGAAGAGUGAGGAAGGAAAGAAGAAUCCGAACCUCUGGUGGGCGCUGCGCAUGGACAACAGCCGCGGCAAAGGGUGAUCCUGAGCGGGGAGAGAGGCCGAGGGCGCCGGCGGGCGAGCUCGAGUCCGGGGUCUGCGCAGCGCGGCUGGUGAAUAAAAAGGAGAGAGGAGGCGCCUCUUACUGCUCUGCCGGAAAACUGCAGCCUGCGCUCCUGAUUGGACUCAUCGAGCCCUAAACAAACAGCGCUCGCCGAAGGGUGCCAGGCUGUGGGUCGGAACUGCGCUCUGCGAGCUGCUGGGAGCUGGAGAAAGGAUUUCUUCCGACAGACGUGUCCCCAAGAGGCUGCCGAGAGAGAAUUUAAUUAGGAGUUGUUUUGUGGGAAUGAAUUUUUACGUUUUUCUUUCCCUCAGGUUCAGCGUGGCAGCAUUUCGGAAAGGUUGAAGGUAGAAAACUCUGGAACGCAGACUGGCGACUGGAGCAGGAUCCAAGGGCUUAAAAUUUUAACCAAAGUUCGAUCGAAUGCAACUACCAGAACAGAUAGCCCGGCGUCUGCUGUCCGCUCUACUCCGACCAAGGCUUCAAAUGCCUUCCAUUUGGUUCUUUCGUGAGUUCCGACCAAAUUUCUUAGUGCAGUGGAUUUUGCAGAAGUUCAGUUGUAAAUCAAAAUAUUGUGAACGUUUGAUUUCCUUUGAGUGCAAAUGUUUUGAAAUAAUGCUUCUCAGGUUUGCUAUUAAAAGUGAUUUUUAAAAAUUUCAGAUCUCAGUGGGGUGAUUUCCAGUGAAGAGUUAGCAAAUA